rnacentral:rRNA from 1 species
CAGUCGCCGCGGUAAUACGUAGGGGGCAAGCGUCGUCCGGAAUCAUUGGGCGUAAAGCGCGUGUAGGCGGCUCGAUAAGUCUGCUGUGAAAGUCCAGGGCUCAACCCUGGAAUGCCGGUGGAAACUGUCGAGCUCGAGUCCGGAAGAGGCAAGUGGAAUUCCUGGUGUAGCGGUGAAAUGCGCAGAUAUCAGGAGGAACACCAAUGGCGAAGGCAGCUUGCUGGGACGGUACUGACGCUGAGACGCGAAAGCGUGGGGAGCAAACAGGAUUAGAUACCCGCGUAGUCCCUGUCUCUUAUAA